rnacentral:rRNA from 1 species
UACGUAGGGUGCAAGCGUUAAUCGGAAUUACUGGGCGUAAAGCGUGCGCAGGCGGCUUUGCAAGACAGAUGUGAAAUCCCCGGGCUCAACCUGGGAACUGCAUUUGUGACUGCAAGGCUAGAGUACGGCAGAGGGGGAUGGAAUUCCGCGUGUAGCAGUGAAAUGCGUAGAUAUGCGGAGGAACACCAAUGGCGAAGGCGGCCCCCUGGCACAACACUGACGCUCAGGUGCGAAAGCGUGGGGAGCAAACAGG